UUUUUUUUGCAGGGGUGGCUUUAGGGCCUGAGAAGAUACCCAUUGAACCUGACCUGGCUAAAACCAGGGUAGGGAAUUGCAGAAAUGUCCUCAUU
rnacentral:ncRNA from 2 species